AGAUGUGUGUAUGGGCAUC
rnacentral:miRNA from 1 species